AGAUGGUAGAUUAUGGAUGAAUCAUCAAACUUCAUCAUCGGUCAUAUGAUAGAUUCAAUCAGUUUGAGUCCAUGCAUGAUUCUUAUAAAAAUUUUUUUCUAUUGAUCAUACUGCUAUGGCUAUAGAUUUAAGGACUCAACUUCAUAAAUCUGAUAGGACUACUUUCUUCUGCUAGGAUCGAUAGAUCUCAUCUAGGUGUACACCCUACUCCUACA
rnacentral:lncRNA from 1 species